AGCGGGGCGGGAUCUCGGACCCCUAGUCCCCGACCCUGAUCUCUGGAGCCCCCUCCCCCCUACUCCGCUCGGAGUCCCCGCGCGCGCCGCCCCCGCGCGGAGGUUGCCUGGACAGGGAGGGCGGGGGAGCUGGAGAACCGCAUGCAUUUCAUUCAUGAUUUUCUCUUCACGGGAGCCCCGGGCCCGGGCUGCGCCUAUUCGGCGACCGCCAGAGGGACCCCAGCGGGGCCGUGCGCACCGAACCCAAUGCGGGACGUACAGACAGAUGGGGGUAGAGGAAAGCGAGACAAAGGGGUCAGUGCCGUGGGGGGUGGAGGGGGCAAUGCAUGGAAAGGGUGCGGUGGCGCUCCCCGAUGUUGCCCCCACGAUGCCAACACCUGCACAGAGUGGUUGCAUACCCGGGCGCACACGGCGCCGGGUGCCCAGGACCUGCUUCAGGGCUCGGAGGAGGCACCUGCCUUCCCACUCUUCCCUCUUCAGCCUCUAGGGAGCAAGACCGUCCUCCACCAGGUCUCUCCCGCCUGACGCUCGCCGCUGGGCGCGCACCUGUCUUGGCUUUCUCGUGGGCACCGUGGGCCGGGAUGCGCAAGGAGCUGCCCACGCACCCCACAAUCCCACAUUCCUCAGGCUGGCACCCUGCUGGCCGGAGGUUCCAGAUGUUCCACCCAGAUGGGGGCUUUUUGAGGCGUCAGGCUGCACGCAGAGCGGGAUCCUAAGCUCCAUUUCUACAUGGGGAAACCGAGGCGCACCACCACACAGGUCUUACCCUGGUUCCAGCCACCAUCCUCUUUCAUCUGGAUUUCUGCAAUAGCCUCCUGACUGGUCUCCCUGCUUCCACCCUUGGCCCCCUGCAGUUGAUUCUCUACACAGCAGUCAGAGCCAUCCUUUUAAAACAAUUCAAGGUAACUCUAGCACUAAGCUCUCAGAACAAGUCUUCAGGAAGCUUUUCCUGAUGGUAAACUCUUACGGACCCCAUGGCCAAUGACCUUAGUGUCAUUGUUAAGCAAAUGCAUACAUGAGACUCAUGGAGCUGAUUUCGAUGAGGUCUCUUGACAAAAGCUGGGCAUCACCCCACAUCUAAAUUGGUCAAGGUUCCAAAGGUCAUUUACACCUGUUGUCUAAUUUGCUCCUGAUAAUCGCCUGCAAGUAAGAUCAGGCAUUUUUACAGGAGUUCACCAGUUCCAGGGCACAGCAUUUGGGGCAGGGGCCAGAGGGGUCUAGAGCAUGAGCAAGCCCAGAAAAAAACAAAACAAAACAAACAAAAAACAAAAACGAAGCGGCUCGUGUUAAGGAGUUUGGAUUUUUGUCUCGAGGGCAACAACAGAAGGAUUUUAAGCUGGGAACUUGUGUCUUAUGAGGACAACUCUGACUGGAGAGAUAAGAAUGGUGGAAGGGAGGGGCGCCUGGGUGGCGCAGUCGGUUAAGCGUCCGACUUCAGCCAGGUCACGAUCUCUUCAGCCAGGUCACGAU